rnacentral:tRNA from 1 species
GGAGGUAUAGCCAAGUGGCAAGGCAGAGGUCUACAAAACCUUCAUCGCUGGUUCGAUUCCAUCUACCUCCG